rnacentral:rRNA from 1 species
GCCUUGCACAUGCAUGUCGAACGGUGCAAGCCCAGCGUUAGCUGGGUAGGAUCAGUGGCGAACGGGUGAGUAACACGUGAGCAAUCUGCCCCUGACUCUGGGAUAAGCGCUGGAAACGGCGUCUAAUACUGGAUACGAGCCGUGAAGGCAUCUUCAACGGUUGGAAAGAUUUUUCGGUCAGGGAUGAGCUCGCGGCCUAUCAGCUUGUUGGUGAGGUAAUGGCUCACCAAGGCGUCGACGGGUAGCCGGCCUGAGAGGGUGACCGGCCACACUGGGACUGAGACACGGCCCAGACUCCUACGGGAGGCAGCAGUGGGGAAUAUUGCACAAUGGGCGCAAGCCUGAUGCAGCAACGCCGCGUGAGGGAUGACGGCCUUCGGGUUGUAAACCUCUUUUAGCAGGGAAGAAGCGAAAGUGACGGUACCUGCAGAAAAAGCGCCGGCUAACUACGUGCCAGCAGCCGCGGUAAUACGUAGGGCGCAAGCGUUAUCCGGAAUUAUUGGGCGUAAAGAGCUCGUAGGCGGUUUGUCGCGUCUGCUGUGAAAUCCCGAGGCUCAACCUCGGGUCUGCAGUGGGUACGGGCAGACUAGAGUGCGGUAGGGGAGAUUGGAAUUCCUGGUGUAGCGGUGGAAUGCGCAGAUAUCAGGAGGAACACCGAUGGCGAAGGCAGAUCUCUGGGCCGUAACUGACGCUGAGGAGCGAAAGGGUGGGGAGCAAACAGGCUUAGAUACCCUGGUAGUCCACCCCGUAAACGUUGGGAACUAGUUGUGGGGUCCAUUCCACGGAUUCCGUGACGCAGCUAACGCAUUAAGUUCCCCGCCUGGGGAGUACGGCCGCAAGGCUAAAACUCAAAGGAAUUGACGGGGACCCGCACAAGCGGCGGAGCAUGCGGAUUAAUUCGAUGCAACGCGAAGAACCUUACCAAGGCUUGACAUACACGAGAACGCUGCAGAAAUGUAGAACUCUUUGGACACUCGUGAACAGGUGGUGCAUGGUUGUCGUCAGCUCGUGUCGUGAGAUGUUGGGUUAAGUCCCGCAACGAGCGCAACCCUCGUUCUAUGUUGCCAGCACGUAAUGGUGGGAACUCAUGGGAUACUGCCGGGGUCAACUCGGAGGAAGGUGGGGAUGACGUCAAAUCAUCAUGCCCCUUAUGUCUUGGGCUUCACGCAUGCUACAAUGGCCGGUACAAAGGGCUGCGAUACCGUAAGGUGGAGCGAAUCCCAAAAAGCCGGUCCCAGUUCGGAUUGAGGUCUGCAACUCGACCUCAUGAAGUCGGAGUCGCUAGUAAUCGCAGAUCAGCAACGCUGCGGUGAUACGUUCCCGGGUCUGUACACACCGCCCGUCAGUCAUGAAAGUCGUA